GUAGGUGAACCUGCGGAAGGAUCAUUAAAAAUGAAGCCGGGAAACCGGUCCUUCUAACCCUUGAUUAUCUUAAUUUGUUGCUUUGGUGGGCCGCGCAAGCACUGGCUUCGGCUGGUUAGUGCCCACCAGAGGACCACAACUCUGUAAUAAAUGUUGUCUGAGUAAUAUUAUAAAUAAAGUUAAAACUUUCAACAACGGAUCUCUUGGUUCUG
rnacentral:misc_RNA from 1 species